CUCAGAUUAUUCAAAGGGAUCUUAACAUUUUUACCAACAGUAACUUAAAAUGGAAGGGGUUGUCUCAGAGGCACUGAUGUCUGGGAAGAGUAGACACCCUUGAAUAGGAAACUGAAGAUUGGAGAAGAUCAUACAAUUAGCAAGUGGGUUUCUAACCCAGUUCUGUCUGACUUCAAAGCCUAAACUCUUUAUCAUCAUGCUGGACUACUGCUUCUCAUCGGCAGGAAUUCCAAUCACUGAAAUGAGUUUGGCUGAAACUCAUGAACAGCAGAGAGUCCAAGUGGCAGGGGAAAUAUGCUUUCACGUGAGUGGAAAAACGGGAUGGACAAAAAUGGCCUUCAGGCAUCUCAGCAGCUGUAUGAGCUCCAUAUUCAUUUCCUACAUCCUGUAUAUCUAAGGGUACCUCCCUCAGCUCCCAUCAUUCUGAGAAUCCAGAGGUGAGAGUGAACUUGGAGUCUGGGUAAGUCCCAAAUCAAAGGUUUACUAUUGUUGCAAGGAGUCAUAGCAUUUAUUUAAAUGACUGAGACAGGGGUAACAAUGAGAGUCAAAAACAUUUUUUUUUUUUUUUGGUAUCAAGGAUCAAACCCAGGGGCACUUAACCACUGAGCCACAUCCCCAGCCUCUUUUUAAGUGUUAUUUAGAAACAGGAUCUAGAACUCUAGGAGACAAGAAGAAACUUCAGAUAAUGAAUGGAGACGCUGUUUCUCAACCUUAGGGUAAGAGCUAGAAGGAAAAAGAUGGAAGAGAAUUGAUCUCCCAGGUUUCCUCUCCUAUUGCCAUUUUAUGGAUUGGGAGAAUGAACGGAGAGAAUUCCCUGCCCUUUAGCCUACUAUCCUAACAACAACAACAACAACCACCCCUUCCCUACACUAUUUCUGAGUGAUGCAUAUGGAGUUAGCAAAGUGUGUCAAAUUGUAGUGUUACUGUCAAAGAUUAUCUGCCCUUCUUGCCCAGCCAUGUAAGGUUUGGCCAAAUAACUUUUUGGCCAGUGAAGUGUGUGCAUAGGUGAUGGAUGUUAACUCUGAGUCUAGCUUAUUAUAGAUAUUCAAAGGUCUUUGAAAUUCCCAUUUCACUGUAUCACAAGACCAGCUCUUCCCGAAAGGAAAAAUGUUCUUUCAGCUGGCCUCAAAUGAAGGAUCAUGAAAAAUCAAAGCUGAAACUUUCCCCACUAUAAUUGAAACAAGAAAUAAAUUUGUGUACUGUAGGACACAGAUGUGGGAGUAAUUUUCAUAGCAUAAUUAAUGAAUGGUGACAGAUAAUGAGACCAUUGACCCUGGUAGUUACAAGAAGUGCAGGGGCUAAGGCAGCAGAGAUAAUAGGUAUGGAGAAAGCACCUGGAAGGAAGUGAAGUCUAGAGUUCCAGAGCUAUUUCCACACUCUUCUGAACCUUCAGAUCUAUGCCAAGUAUCCUUCACCGAGUCCCAAAGCAAACCAGAUCUUAAAAGACUGCAUUUUUUAUUGAAUCAAGAAAAUUCCUGGGAUAGUUGUUGAAAGACUUUGUAAGCACCCAGGUAGGACUUGUUCUAGAGAAGAGGUUUAGAUUUAUUCUAGUUCUAGCCUAAAAGACAGGGACUUAGCAUCCCUAAAAAAUGUUACAUACUGACAAGAACCCCACAGGAUCUCUAAUGAAGACUAAUUUCUGACCACCCACUGUGUGGCCAGUUCUUAGACCAAGCAUCAUUCUGGAUUGUUUUGUUCAGACCAUCUGGGGGCAAGUUUCUGCCACACCUCCCCAGCCACACCUCUGGUCCUCCCACAGAACAUGUCCCCUGCACCCUGAGCACACUCUUGAGACUAUCCUAAGGGGGCCCUCAGCUCAGAUGGGUGGGGUCACAACUUCCCCACCCGUUGCUUCUUAUUGGUUGCAGACACCCACAUGAUCGUCAGCUGCAUUUCCAUUGGUUGGAAGGUGAAAAGAGGUGUGCCCUGCAGGGCCCUCUCAGUGGGGGGAGGUUAAGGCACACCUGUGAGCCCGGGUGGGGGCGCCAUGACCCUGGC